rnacentral:rRNA from 1 species
GCAUUGGGGGUGCGCAAUCAGCGCCUCUCCAUCUAUGAGAAGGAGUUUCUCGCGGUCAUCAUGGCCGUCGAGAAGUGGCGACAUUACCUCCAACGCGCUCCAUUUGUCAUCAUCACCGACCACAAGAGCCUAUGUAGCCUCGGCGACCAACAGUUGGACACAGAGCUGCAGCGUAAAGCCAUGUCAAAGCUAGUCGGACUCCAGUUCUCCUUCAAGUACCGGCGGGGAGUCGAAAAUGGCGCAGCGGAUGCGCUCUCGCGC